GUCAUCAUAUUUCUCCAUUUCAAGUAAAACACUCAGAUACUUUGCCUUGUGCUUUUCUUCAACCGAAUUCACAAACACUAGCCUUGUAUUGAACCAUGCGCUCUAAUACCACAUGUUAGGAUUUAAAAGCCCUCUUGGAUGCAGAAACAGGAAUCCCAAAAAGUUGGAUCCCACCAGGAGCAUGUACAUAUCCAGCUAGGAAAAAAAUAGGCAAGAGUACGAGCCAUAAUACUAGAAAUAAAGCAUAAAACACACAAGCCGCAAGAAUACAAAGAUUUACGUGAUUCACUUUAAAAGGGCUACAUCCACUGGUAUGGCAAGUAGAAAUCCAAUAUACCAAUAAGAAUUACAUCAUAGAUUUUGGGAUGCAGAGUUACCUCUUUAAUCAUUGACAAAACUCAGUCGAGCAACCCUUUAAGACCUGUUCUUCUGAUUGGCAUCACCCACCAAUCUUUCAUUUCUAUUCCACAGCCAAAACCUGUCUCCAGGAAGAAACCCAUUUCUCUCACUAAAGGGGAAACCACCCCAAAACUCUAUGGAAACUAUUUCUCUACAAGAAACUAGCCUCUCACUCUGCAUAUCGCAAUGUUUCUCUCCAUAGGAAGCUCUCUUCUCUCUGAAGGGAGGCCUUGCCUCAUGCACAGGAGGCUCCUGCCCCCCUCUCUCUCAAGAGGAAGCCACCGUUCCUAUGUGGUGACCCAAAUAGGCCACACCUAUAUUUUCCACUCUUAUUUUAUAUAUAGAAGAUUAGGAAUUUCCACUAAAUUGGAAACUUCUUAUAUAUGUUACAUAUAUUUCAAAAACCAAGGGAUAUAACCAAGAGUCCUAGUCUUUUUGGAUUUCUAUUUCCUCUAGGAAACUUAUCAAUAUCAAUUGCAAUCCCACGUAAUAUGGGAUUUUUCUUGUUUUAGGUAAUUUUGGAUAUCAUGAUAUCCAACAGGUUCUUUGUUCCUCUCUCUCUCUCUCUCUCUCUCUCUCUCUCUACUACUACUACUACUACUACUACUACGUACUACUACUACUACUAACUACUACUACUACUACUUACUACUUACUUACUUACUUACUUACUUACUUACUUACUUACUUACUUACUUACGUUNNNNNNNNNNNNNNNNNNNNACCUACCCGUAACGUUAAUUAGGUAGGUUUUAGUUUUCGUUUUUAGGUUUUAAGUUUUAGUUUAGUAUAUACUAUAGUAUACUACACGUACGUUCGUUCUUCUCUCUCUCUCUCUCUCUCUCUCUCUCUCUAAAAGAUCUCAAAGAAUUGCACGACAAUCAAUAUGAUUCCCUCUUCUUCACAUGUUCUUUUUACAUAUAUCUUCAUUCUUUUGGAGAAUGAGAUCUCAAAGAAUUGCAGGACAAUGAAUAUGAUUCCCCUUCUUCACGUGUUCUUUUUUCAUGUAUCUCCAUUCUUUUCGUCCAUUCUUGAAUUAAAUUUUCAGAUUUUUCCUUUUGAGAGAUGGGCAUGUUCCAUUCAUUCUUUUCUCUCCCUUUUUUGUUUAUUUUUUAAUUGCAAAAGCUGGUGCAAAAUUAUUUACUCAUUGAAAACAAACAUUUGCUCAAAUUAUAAAUGUAGAUAUACAAACACAAACUCAAAAGUUAUUUCACUCUGACAGCAUUCAUUCUUAAGGCGCUUUACAAACACAUUUUAU
rnacentral:lncRNA from 1 species